UACGAAGGAUGCAAGCGUUAUCCGGAUUCAUUGGGUUUAAAGGGAGCGUAGGUGGCCUCAUAAGUCAGUGGUGAAAUCUCUGGGCUUAACUCAGAAAUUGCCAUUGAUACUGUAGGGCUUGAGUAUAGUUGCCGUUGGCGGAAUAUGACAUGUAGUGGUGAAAUACAUAGAGAUGUCAUAGAACACCGAUUGCGAAGGCAGCUGACGAAACUAUAACUGACACUGAGGCUCGAAAGUGCGGGGAUCAAACAGG
rnacentral:rRNA from 1 species